rnacentral:snRNA from 1 species
GUCCCUUCGGGAACAUCCGAUAAAAUUGGAACGAUACAGAGAAGAUUAGCAUGGCCCCUGCGCAAGGAUGACAAGCACAAAGAAAAUAACCUCAUCACC